rnacentral:lncRNA from 1 species
CCCGUCCUGCAGGCAAAGAGCACAAAGUCUGCACUUGUGCGAGGGACUCAGACAUCGGCUCUCCAGAGCCGGCUGCUUUUACACAAUGGUUUUCAAGUUCCUGAGCAAUCUCAGGACUGCGCUCCCAACAUGAGCUCUGGAGGGGCGUCGUUGCCGUUCCCCACUUCCAGACCCUAAGCCCUCAGGAACAGAAGCAAGAGAACACAAGCCAGCCGGGUCCCAGGGAGGGCGGGUGCACGUGAGCGGGAAGGCGGCACCCAGAGCCACCCGCCUCGGACCAGAGGCCAUGUCGAGGCCCUGCGCUUGAACCAGACACCUUCAGAGCCCUGGCCACCUGCUUGAUUUUUUUAAAAGUCUGUGAAGUGUUUACUUUAUUUUUAUUACUUUUACUAGCCGAGUUUGCAGUACAGAAUGAUGCCACUCGCCACAGGGAGUGGGUGCCGGUGCAGGACACGGCUCUGCAAAAUGCUCCAAGGAAAGAACCCAGGAGCCUGAAGAUGGUCUUUCACCUCUCAGUCCCUGCAAGCCAGGGACGUCGCCUCCUGCACUGCCCAGGGUGGCUGGCUGCUGUGGCCAUCACAGGACGCUGGGGGGUGUCAGGCUCGGGUGUCUACAGAGGGCGACUCUGCGGAGUGGGCCAGGCUCCCGGGGCAAAGCUGGACACAGGGCCUUGUGGGAUUGUGGCAGGGGCAGUGUGGGCACCAGCUCCGAGGCCAGCCGGGCCCGGGGGGCAGAUGUAGCACCUGCUCAGGAAGGGCCAGGGUCAGCAACCCCACAGCACUGGUUCCUCUCGGGCCGCACAGCACCGACCACUGCACUGUCCACCCUGAGGCCCGUCACACCCUUCUGGCCUGUGCCCCGGUUCCACACGCAGUCUGCCUGGCUCUUGCCGCCUUCUAGAGUCCUCCAAGCCACGCUGAUUUUAUUUGUCACUGUCUGUCUCCCUGUCCCAGGUGAGCUCCAUGGGGGGAUUUGGCUCUCUGCAUCCCACUGGGCUGGCAAGGUAUCAAGGGGCACCAGGGGAGCCCUAAGCUGGAAACCCAGCUGGGGUACUGAGGUCAAGGAGAGGGAGGGAGGGAGGGAGGGCCCCUGGGGCGGGGCAGAGGCUCGGCAGGCGGGAGGAAGGGAGGUGGGCAGCAGGAAGAGCAGCAGGAAGAGCAGCAGGGCCACCAGAGCGCAGCUGCAGGACUGGCCUCUCAGGAGGGGCGACACGCCAAGCCAGGGGAGUGGAAGGUGGCAGNNGCCGCCGCUGCUCCAUCCAUGCUCGUGGCCUCCUGGCCCCAGGGUGUGACCCACAGCGGUGGGAAAGGUGUCCCCCUUGUGCAGCACCUGCCACAGGAGAGGGCUCCGUCCCAUUCCAUCCUUGCGGGCCUCGGCAGGCGGGGGCAGCAAGGACCCCUCUGAGGGGAGAGCAGCAGGCGCAGAGAACCAGCCCUGGUCCCAGGGGCAGCGGUGGCCUCUGCCGCCUAGACUCACUGCUGUGAUCUUCUUUUGUGUUUCUCGGAUGACGGUGUCCACGUGAAACCAAAAAUAACCCCUAUUCAAUCUUGCUGAAUCUCCAGUGCUGUAAAAAUUGCUUUCUAUUGACUGGCACUGCAAAUAAAUAAAUAAAUAGCGCCUGUACCUGCAUUUAGCUCGGUUAACAGAGCGUCCAUGUUGAGAUGCGGGGACCUCACAUCCACUUGGUUUCUGCCGAGCCUGGGUGCUGGCACCAGAGAGCAACGUGUGGGUUUCGGAGCCCAACACACUGGCAAACAGAGGGUGCCGGCAGGGAGCGCCCUGGGUCCACAGCACAUGCGGGGCCACUCUGACCAGGCAAGGGGGACGGUGCGGCCCCAGGAGCUCACUGACCGGACAACACAAGUCCGAAGCCAUCACACUGAGUGUCUGCCAUGAAUAAAAGCACCUACCAAUCACUUGUUCUCCAGGAGCAGACAUACACAGGGCUCCAGGGAGAAAGGGUGGGAGCAGACACAGCACUGGAAUGCAAAGGGUAAACAAAGCCAGGCAUGGUGGUGCACGCCUAUAAUCCCAGCUCCCUGCGAGGCUGAGGCAGGAUGAUUGCAAGUUUAAUUCUACUUGGGGUAAUUUUGCAAGACUCUGUCAGAACAAAAAAACAAAAAAGGGCUAGAGCUACAGCUCAGUAUGAAGGGUUCACUCCCCAGCACAGGAAAAAACGUUAACUAUACAGUAAGUAGACUACACCAAAACCUCCUACUGGAACACACAUGGCUCUAAAGGCAGGCGCUCAGCUAACCUGUCUGAUGGCUGCCUUGUUAAACCCGUGUUAAUUACAAACUUUAUACGGCCAUCUAAAGAUCGAGUGCCACACACUGCCAGGGACAGACCAGCCAUUAGUCGGGAUUACUUGCCUCAGGAUUCUCUUAUGUUGAGGACCCAGAGGCCUCAGCGGUUCAAGUGGUUUCACUUAGUGUCCUGUGGUGCAGACUAAGGUCCCUGUGUCACUAAAGCUGGAUUAGGGAAGGCGACAGCACAAUCAGGCAGCAUUUCAAAGGGCCUAAAAUGGGCCAUGGGCCGGGGUGAUGAGCCAGGUGAGUAACCCUAUCAGGCCUGACGUUUUUGUUCCAACCAUUUGCUAAUGAAAAUAAGAAAAGCAGGUACAGGAGCUUAACAGUGAUUAAACUUUUUAGAGUGAUUAAACUUUUUAAAGCACUCUAAUCAGCAAUGCUGUAACUUCUCAGGUAUAAGAGAAUGUUUAUUCUCUAUUAUAGAGAAAUUACGGCUGGGUGUGGUGGCACCCACCUGUAAUCCCACUCAGGAGGCUGAGGCAGGAGGACAGCUGAGAGCUGGAGGCCAGCCUGGGCUACAUAGUGAGUUCCCAACCAGCUGAACUACAAAGCGAGACCCUGUCUCAAAAAUAAAAAGAAUUAAAAAAAAGAAAUUACAAUGUAGUAGUUUGCUUCAAAAAUAAAUAACCACUGUCAGGGAAAACUCCUGCAGAGUUUUUGAAAUUUGACAUGUUGGAAUGUUUAAGAAUCUGCUGGAAGGGCUGGGGACUUAGCUUAGAGGCACCAGGCCUUGCCUGCCAAGCAAAAGGUCCUGAGUUCAAUUCCCAGCACCAAAAAAAAAAAAGAGGAGAAGAAGCUGGAAAGCAAACAUAGUAAGGUAGAAACUUUGACAGGCUGCAAAACAAAACUAAUAAACCAUCCAGGCUGAAUUACAGGAGCAAAUUACUUGGACAUAACAAAACCAAGCUCGUGAGCCAUGGAAACUUGAAGAGACAUGGAAUCCUCUCAACACAGGGCCUGCAGAGUGGAGACGGACGUGUCGUUUAACCAGGGGCCUGCAAUGCUCGACCUAAAUAAACCCCGUGGCUGGUGUGGCCACAGCACCUGUACUCUGUCUGCAGCUCCGAGUACCGUCCUGAGCCCUCCAUGCUGCAAAGUACCCAGAGCUUGGCAGCCUGGGCCCUGCUAGCCUGUGCCAGUCCAUGUGGGGACACAAGGGGUCUCUCUGCUCUCAGGCAACCCUGCCAGGGCCUGUGCCGUGUGAGCCACCACAGUGACACAAGUGCACUGGGCACUUCCUGGGAGCCAGGCACAGGCUUCAGCAGAGCUCACUUGGUCCUUACGAUAAACCGGGCAGUGGUUCCGACAAUCCUCAGACAAGGACCCUGGGGCAGGGAGAAGGCUGGGCUGCCCGUGCCAGGCCAAGCGGCUUGAAGUAGAGGUCAGGCAGAGCCAGGGGCCUGUGACACAGUCUCAGGCACCACGGGUCCGCCCUGCAUCCUCUCCAAUGCCACCCCACAUCUCUCCACCCGUGUCCUUUAAAAUGUGAAAGUCACUCCGUGGGCAGGUAGGCUGCUUGGCAGCACAGAGGCACUUUGCCCAGUACAACACAAAAUGCCUCUGCUCGCCCUGUGUCUGCCCGGAGCAUGCAGAAUCCUCCCACUUAGCUCCCUGUUUUUCCUCUGCAGUCAACCACAAGUAAAAUACCUGUAGCAGUGUCUCCAAGGGUUUCUUUAUCUUGUGCUACCUUUAUGGCUCCCGGGGAAGUGGGAAGCUUUCUCAAUCCCAGGAAUUCUGACUAUGUGAACGCCACCAGGAGAGAGGGCAGUUUCAUGCAUUUUAGAAAACAGGGGAAUGUGAGUAUUCUAACCUAGACUCCUUUAUUUUCCUCUAAUAAAGGAAAUAUAAUUCAGUCCUAUGUAUUAGAAGAUAACUGGGUUACAAGGAGACAGAUCGUGAUUGUUUCUGGAAAAAGUCAAGUUAAUACAACAGCACAAAGAGUUCCCAGUCAGGAACAGGAACGGCUGUGAUAAAGCACGGUGCAGGGCCGGGGAUUUAGCUCAGUGGUUCCGCCGCCUGCCUCACAAGUGCAAGGUCCCAAGUUCAAUCCCCAUCCCCGGUACCAAAAACAAAAAAUAAAACAUGGUGCAGGAGCCACGGCUAUCAACAGUGAUGGAGAGGAGGAAAGAGAAAAAGCACUGCGAGGCCUGUGCUCAGGGUGUCACCCACGGCAUGCAUGCUGGGAAGGUUCACUAAAACACAUCUACCCAGGUUUGAGAAAAAGUGUGCUUUCACCACAGUGUAACAAGAUGCCAAAGGGGAAUUAAAACGCCAACUACACGAAAACAUCCCUAGACCAGCGCCACUCCAGACAGCCCAAGGCCUGUGUCUGCUCAGACGGACUCGAGCCAGGACCUGGUGAAGGGGACCCCAGAGGCCAGGGAGAGGAUGACCAUCUGCCGCUCGAUCCUCAUGGAGCCCAGCAGCGUGCGCUGCUCAGGCUGGGUCUUCUGUCCAUCAGCGUUAGAGCGGGGAAAGCAGUGAGGGCACUGUGACCAAAGGCAUCCAAGCCUUCUUUCCUCCAGUUCCCUCUGAGGAACCGAGGCAGGGCAAUACCUGCCCAGCCCAGGCCCUCACUGCUGCUCGGCCCAGGCCAGUAGCUGUCACCCCAGUCACCCAGUCACUGCUGUGGGGUCUUGCACUGCCCCCUGUAGUGUUACUGACAACCGCCACCUGGGUGGACGGUAGACAUGGGACUCCAGGAUCGGAGAGGGACCCAGGGCUGGUCCUUCCCGGCCAGAGUCGCCCACAACGCUGGCUCUCUGGCCCAGGUGGAAGGCAGGCCGGUCUCCUUGGGUGCGCACCCCCCCGCCCCCGCAAACACAUGCUCACACAACAUGCACUCACAGGUGCACACUCACAUCACUCUAGGAGCCCAGGUCCGUGAACCCGGGGCAGAAGCACUAACCCGCUAUUUCUGUGCUGCCUGUCCAGGCCUCCUACUCAAAGAGGCAAGAAGACUGCCAGGGGCGAUUCCUGCACCCGGGGCAGACCGUGCCCUCAGUGGUGCCCUCCGGACUCUCAACCUGUGACUGGCCACUGACCAUCAGCUGCCACCGGACAAAGGCGCCUUGUGCUGGACACAGAGGUCCGGAACACGGUCCCGUGCUGGCUUUCCCCUCAGCACACACACCCGGUUUUGUACUUACUGCCAGCUCGAGAGCUCCGUUUCCCUGCCUGGCCGCAGAGCGGGACCCACUGUCCCCUCCACAGCCACCCAAGAGAAGACCGGCCCCGCUCAUCUGACGGGUGGCUCCCCGGCUAGAGUUCAAACUUCACUUCCGAACACCCCAUGCUGUGCGGAGCAGUCACCCUGGCUUUCCCUCAGCCCGUGUCACCACCUCCCACCUCACCUGAGGCAUGCCUGGGGACUCCGCGAUCGUGGACAGGAAGCAGGUGGCGGGGACAGCAGCAUGGUGGACGGGGAGGGAGCAGGUGGCGCGGACGCCGGCGCCUACUCAAGCGCCCCUCGCCCCCAGCACUCUCCGGCCCCGAGGGUCCCCAGCGCCCGCCCAGCCCUCCCGGCCCGGCCUGGCCCUCGAGACUCACGAAGCGGUGCACGAGCGCCCGCGCCCGGCUGCAGUCCAUGGCUCUGGCCCGGUCACGGCCUGGCGCAGGGCAGAGGCGGUGGUCGGCCCUCGGUGCUCACGCCCGGCCGG